rnacentral:tRNA from 1 species
AGCUCAGUUGGUAGAGCAGUUGACUUUUAAUCAAUUGGUCGCAGGUUCGAAUCCUCCCACCA